rnacentral:rRNA from 1 species
AUGCUUUGCUUGUAUGUUGAUGACAUACUAAUUUUCGGAACAAAUCUGAAUGUUAUUAAGGAGGUCAAGGAUUUCCUAUCUCGCUGUUUUGAGAUGAAGGAUUUAAGAGUGGCUGAUGUCAUUCUGAACAUCAAGUUGUUGAGAGAUGAUGAUGGUGGGAUUACAUUGCUUCAAUCUCACUAUGUGGAAAAGAUCUUGAGUCGCUUUGGCUAUAGUGACUACAAGCCCUCUCCAACACCAUAUGAUGCUAGCGUGCUGCUUCGAAAGAAUCGAAGAAUUGCUAGAGAUCAAUUGAAGUAUUCUCAGAUUAUUGGCUCGCUUAUGUACUUAGCAAGUGCUACAAGACCUGACAUCUCUUUUGCUGUUAGCAAACUGAGUCGGUUUGUUUCAAAACCAGGAGAUGUACAUUGGAAAGCUCUAGAGAGAGUUUUGCGUUAUUUGAAAGGCACUGCGAAUUAUGGAAUUCACUACACUGGGCAUCCAAAGGCGCUUGAAGGGUAUAGUGACUCAAACUGGAUCUCAGAUGCUGAUGAGAUAAAGGCCACUGUGAUCACUAAAGUGAGCAGCUCAAAGGAUAACAUGAAGUCAUCAAGGCACGUUCAGAGAAGGUUAAAGUCUGUCAGAAAAAUGAAAAACUCCGGAGUUAUUGCAUUGGAUUAUAUCCAAACGUCUAAAAAUCUGGCAGAUCCUUUUACUAAGGGUCUAUCACGUAAUGUUGAUGUAUAUCUUAAUGUGUUUUAA